GACGAACGCUGGCGGCGUGCUUAACACAUGCAAGUCGAACGCUGAAGCACCAGCUUGCUGGUGUGGAUGAGUGGCGAACGGGUGAGUAAUACGUGAGUAACCUGUCCUUGACUCUGGGAUAAGCCCGGGAAACUGGGUCUAAUACUGGAUGCUACAUGUCACCGCAUGGUGGUGUGUGGAAAGGGUUUACUGGUCUUGGAUGGGCUCACGGCCUAUCAGCUUGUUGGUGAGGUAAUGGCUCACCAAGGCGACGACGGGUAGCCGGCCUGAGAGGGUGACCGGCCACACUGGGACUGAGACACGGCCCAGACUCCUACGGGGGGCAGCAGUGGGGAAUAAUGCACAAUGGGCGAAAGCCUGAUGCAGCGACGCCGCGUGAGGGAUGACGGCCUUCGGGUUGUAAACCUCUUUCAGCAGGGAAGAAGCCACAAGUGACGGUACCUGCAGAAGAAGCGCCGGCUAACUACGUGCCAGCAGCCGCCGUAA
rnacentral:rRNA from 1 species